UCGAACGGAAAGGCCCUUUCGGGGGUGCUCGAGUGGCGAACGGGUGAGUAACACGUGGGUGAUCUGCCCUGCACUUUGGGAUAAGCCUGGGAAACUGGGUCUAAUACCGGAUAGGACUACGCGAUGCAUGUCGUGUGGUGGAAAGCUUUUGCGGUGUGGGAUGGGCCCGCGGCCUAUCAGCUUGUUGGUGGGGUGAUGGCCUACCAAGGCGACGACGGGUAGCCGGCCUGAGAGGGUGUCCGGCCACACUGGGACUGAGAUACGGCCCAGACUCCUACGGGAGGCAGCAGUGGGGAAUAUUGCACAAUGGGCGCAAGCCUGAUGCAGCGACGCCGCGUGAGGGAUGACGGCCUUCGGGUUGUAAACCUCUUUCACUAGGGACGAAGCGCAAGUGACGGUACCUAGAGAAGAAGCACCGGCCAACUACGUGCCAGCAGCCGCGGUAAUACGUAGGGUGCGAGCGUUGUCCGGAAUUACUGGGCGUAAAGAGCUCGUAGGUGGUUUGUCGCGUUGUUCGUGAAAACUCACAGCUUAACUGUGGGCGUGCGGGCGAUACGGGCAGACUGGAGUACUGCAGGGGAGACUGGAAUUCCUGGUGUAGCGGUGGAAUGCGCAGAUAUCAGGAGGAACACCGGUGGCGAAGGCGGGUCUCUGGGCAGUAACUGACGCUGAGGAGCGAAAGCGUGGGGAGCGAACAGGAUUAGAUACCCUGGUAGUCCACGCCGUAAACGGUGGGUACUAGGUGUGGGUUUCCUUCCUUGGGAUCCGUGCCGUAGCUAACGCAUUAAGUACCCCGCCUGGGGAGUACGGCCGCAAGGCUAAAACUCAAAGGAAUUGACGGGGGCCCGCACAAGCGGCGGAGCAUGUGGAU
rnacentral:rRNA from 1 species